GCUAUUACAGAACACCACAGACUAAGUAGUUUACAAACAAUGGAAAUUUAUUUCUCACUGUUCUGGCGGCUAUGAAAUUCAAGAGCAAGGUUGGACUCUUGGUCCAAGAUCAAGGAGGGCAGUUUUGGUGUCUGGUGAGGGCCUGGUGUCCUCUUCCAAGAUGGUGCCCUGAACGCUGCAUCCUCUACAGAGAAGUGCUAUUUCUCAUAUGGCAGAAGAGGAGAAGAGCCAAGAGAAAAAACUCAUUCCUGAAAGUGGUUUUAUGAAGGCAUUAAACCCAUCCAUGAGGUAGUCCUUCUCUGUCACCCAGGCUGGAGUGCAGUGGUACAAUCUCGGUUGACUGCAAUCUCCACUUCUCACAUUCAAAUGAUUCUCCAGCCUCAGCCUCCCCAGUAACUGGGAUUACAGGUGCAUGCCACUGUGUCUAAUUUUGUAUUUUUAGUCGAUAUGGGAUUUCACCAUGUUGGCCAGGCUUAUCUUGAACUCCUGACUUCAAAUGAUCCUCCUGCCUUGGCCUCCCCAAAUCUUGGGAUUACAGGCGUGAGCCACCGCGUCCAGCCUCCAUGUGAUGCUUGAAACACAUUUAUUCUAUUCUCCUGAUGCUGUGACAGGAAAGAAACUGUAUUGUUACUUCUACUACCUGGGGAAAAAUAGCUGAUUAGCUAGUUUUGACUUUAAGACUAUUCUCAAAUCGUUCUCUGAGAACAUGUCUUCGCCUUUUUUCAAUGACAGAGAAAUAAGACCAUCACAUGCUUUCCAUUAUCGUUAAUGACUCUUCUAAUGAUUUGAUGCCUGAUGCCUUUAAUUUUUAUUUUCGAAAAGACAUCUACUACUGACACUAAGUCUCUUUGUUGUUCACUGUAAAUUUCCCUUGAGGCAUGUGUUUUUGUUUAAAGAGGCAUAAAUAAAUAAUCAAUAAAUCAAAGUUCAUAGUACAAAGUGGACUGAAGUCAAAUGACUUCUAUGCUUCCAACAGAGCGAUAUAAUAAGUGAAUAUAGAGUAUUUACUGUAUAAUGCAAUAUCAAUAAUUAAAAACCUGUUUAAGAAUAAAAAAUAUAAAAUGGA